UACGGGGGGAGCAAGCGUUGUUCGGAUUUACUGGGCGUAAAGUGUGCGCAGGUGGCCGCGCAAGUCGAGUGUGAAAUCCCCGAGCUUAACUUGGGAAUUGCGCUCGAAACUACGUGGCUCGAGUGUGGCAGAGGAAGGUGGAAUUCCACGUGUAGCGGUGAAAUGCGUAGAUAUCUGGAGGAACACCGGUGGCGAAGGCGGCAUCCUGGACCGGUAUUGACGCUGAGGCGCGAAAGCCAGGGGAGCAAAGCGGG
rnacentral:rRNA from 1 species